CUUCACGCCCCCUGCUGGGGAGUGACCCCGCAACCCAGGCAUGUGCCCUUAACAGGAAUUGAACCUGGGACUCUUCAGUCCGCCGGCUGACGCUCUACCCACUGAGCCAAACCAGCUAGGGCAAGUGAUGCUUAUGAGACUUGGGUUGGGUUAUCUGAUCUCUUCCUAUGGGAAAGAAAGCAAAGGGCAGAUGUUUCCUAUCAAACAUCCCAUUUCCUCGUCAUUGCUAAAAAUUACUCAGUGGGUACAGUGUUACAGAAUAUGUGGUUGGUCGGUCAGCUGAAGGCCCAGCUGAUAAUUACUUGAUUUGAAUUUGUAGCCCAAAAUACUCUAGCUAGAGUACCAGAAAUCUUAAGGUUGAGAUUUAUAUUGAAAAUGUAAGUGCCUUGUGUAUUUCUCCCUUAAAAAAUAUGAAUGUUGA